rnacentral:rRNA from 1 species
GACGAGGGGGGCAAGCUUAUUCGGAAUCACUGGGCGUAAAGGGCGCGUAGGCGGCGUUUUUAAUCGGGGGGUGAAAGCCUGUGGCUCAACCACAGAAUGGCCUUCGAAUACUGGGGACGCUUGAGUAUGGUAGAGGUUGGUGGAACUGCGAGUGUAGAGGUGAAAUUCGUAGAUAUUCGCAAGAACACCGGUGGCGAAGGCGGCCAACUGGACCAUUACUGACG